CAAGACAGCAGGGAGGGAAAAACCUCAUUAGGAAGGAAGAGGGGGGGAAGAGAACACCUAAAUUCAGUUUGGAAAAAGUGUUAAUUGGGAUCGCAGUGAGCAUGAUAAGUUGCUCUCUGACGGAAUAACCAUCAGGAAGACCAACUCUGCAUUGCAUUAUUAGGAACCUAACAAGGAGAAAAAUGUAGCCUAUUGUGCUGAUUUUCAAGUUCACUGAUAUCUGUGUGAAAAGAGAAAGAUGGGCCCUUCUUUUUAAAGGGAGACAGCACCAAGGAAAUGAAAGAGGUCAGCUGUUACCAGGCUCUCCAUCCAAUAUUCUAGAUGGCUUCAGAACCCCAGAGAUGCUAAAUAUGUUGGACAGUUUAAAAUGUCUCCAGGACAUGGAGACAGAGUUCAUUUGGAAGUCAUGGAAGCUCACUGUGUCUUUGGAGGCUGCUGUAUGGCAUUGUAUGAGCAUUCAUACACUGUACCCAUGUCAGCAUGUAACAUCAAUAUGGUGUUCUGUACUUCUGUGUUCUCCUAGACUCUUACAUUUCUCAAUAUAUAAUCACACUGCUUCCCACAAAACCACACAACCUGUUCAACAUUUCAAAUUGGUGGUCUGGAGCAAUGAAUCCAGAAGUGCCUCCAAGCUGCAAACACUGUCUUUCAGGGGGAGUAUGACCCCAUCAAAGACUGGUUAACAUAACUCCAAACCCAGGUUAGGCCCCUUGACAGUAAGCCCCUCUGCCUUGUUUGGAUUCAGCUUCAGUUUGU